rnacentral:rRNA from 2 species
AACUCUCAACAACGGAUAUCUUGGCUCCCGUAACGAUGAAGAACGCAGCGAAAUGCGAUACGUAGUGUGAAUUGCAGAAUUCCGUGAACCAUCGAAUCUUUGAACGCAAAUUGCGCUCGAGGCUUCGGCCAAGAGCAUGUCUGCCUCAGCGU